UUCACUGACAGCAGGGACCUACUCUUUUAGGACAAUGACUGAACACAACACUGCGAAAAAAAAUCCCCAGGAGCAGCUUGAAGAAAAUAACAAAGAGCCCAAGGCAUUGAUCGAACCUUCAAACUCCAAUCUAGUAAAACAUCCCCGAGAUGCGCGAUAACAGACCAUCUGUGGAGAGUCCAAACUGCCACCCUACACAAUAUUGCACCUACACAAUAUUAGGCAGCUGUAUUGGUGCAAAUUACUUCAAAUGUAAUAUUUCUUUGAUGUUUCUCUGCUUUAGGAGAUGUAUAUGAUCGGCAUGGCAAACAUUAAUGGCCUAUAAAAGGAAGAAACCCCCAAAAUAGAAAUUAAAUUUGAUGAGACCUCAUUAAAGGCAGCUUUCAAAGUUGUACUGCAGAUCAAACUUUAACCAGCCACUCCUCCUCUUCCAGUCUUCAUGGCGUCUAAUCGCCUCUGCCUCGGGCUAAAGAUGUCACCUUAAUCACAACGAGAUGAGUGACAGGUGCUUGUGCAGGAAAGUGGAAUUAACAGUAUUUCCUGCCUGGAGGUGAAAAGGUUGCUUUGAUAGACUUUUUUGUUUUUUGGAAGGUGAUUAAGAGAGAAGAUUAAUAACAGUCUUUUCUUUUUUAAACCUGAAAGAAUUACAUGUGCUCCAGUCCAGUAGGUGGUGGUAAUGACCUUUACGCUGGUUGGCCAACCCCUAAUAAAAAGAUCAGCUCAAACCUUCACACUUUGCCAGAUGGUUCCCUCCUCUGCAGCGAUAAUCAGGUUUUCUAGUAUUUAUUCUUACCGGAGUCUGUUGGCCAAACUAACCUCACCUGUACGUGCCUGCACGCUUCUUACCUGCAGUCUGUUAAUGAAAGACAAACAAUUAAGCUAACCAAAAUCCCUACGAAGUUCCUGUAAGCAAGCCACUUACCUGUUACCUCACCUGGUGGUCUGAAGAAAUUUACUUGGUGAUUUGCUUCCUAGUAUUAAUUCAGGGGACGUGUUUGGCUGUGAGCAGCAGAGUUGGGAACAGCAUCAGCAUCCAUUUAUCCACAUCAUUACCCACAUCUACCACUGCUGCCACAGACACACAGAGCUCAGUCUCCAAUCUCCAGUCCACAAGAUGACACUUUGACCUCUGGGAAGUGCUGCCAUGUGAUUACAGAAGAGGAGAGAUGCAAAGACACGGCGAACAGUUGUUGUUAAGCAUGGACGAAUACCAAACUCCAAACUCAUUCAAACUCAGUUCUGCUCUGCUGCACUUUGACUACUCUACAGAUCUGGAACUUGAAGUCUAAGCUGGAAGAGAACUGAAGCUGUGCUGCCAUGCUCCUUUUGGAAAGAAGAGGCUUUCUCGAGGCAACCCUUCCAAACAAGCCAUACGUCUUCAGUGUUUUUCCAACUGGUCUGCUGGGAAUUUUAACAUUUAACACGGUACCAUUGCCCUCAUACUAUGUUCAUAUUUUGUGGCUCUGCAUCUAUUUCCUACGUCACAUUUUUAAUGUAUAAUUGACCAGAAAAUUGUCAUCCCUCAUUCCUGUCAUAUCAUUUGCUCUUGCAGUCCAGACCUGUGUGUUCAGGAAAGCUUCAUACUCAUUAUUGAUUUUUAUUGCUAAUUCUUUUGCCUUUUAACAGAAUGAUUUCUUUUCUUAAACCAUCUGCUCUAAGCUACACAUGAAGAUCCAUGAGUUUGCACUGCAUGUGUUCUGUAUGAGUUUUAAGUAUUUUAACCAGAAUCUUGGAUCAUAGGAUUUAAAAGAAAAUCCCACCAGCGACUCGCUUAAACUUGAGGAAAAUACCAGCAGGAGCCCUUGCCACCUUGUAUUUCUAUAUUACUGCACUGACAGUGAACUAUUAAUACUUCUGUCUUUAAUAUUAAAUAAAACAUUUAGUAAAAAAAUGUCCUUCAUCAUUAAAAGUACGCUUCCUUUUCUGGGAAAAUACUAAUCUGUUAACUUAAUGACGGUUACUACAUCACUUUUUUGCACUCUGAUUCAUUUAUAUAUUCUUUGUUAACUGCAACAAAUAAAGUA